AAAAAACUUAAAUAUGGAAUUUGAGUAUGAAAAUGAACGGUAACUCAUUUUGGUUAUCUUUUAGAGUACUAAGAGCGCCCAAAGAGUACCCUUAAAAAUAUUAAGUUUAAAGGGAUAAAUCACAAAAUUGAAGAAGAAGAAAAAGAAGGAGACAAGAUCACAAACCUUCUCAUGCGGCUAAGUUCUCCCGUCAACAGCGUUGGGCUCCUGCUGUAGACGGUGAAGGCGACGACGUUGGGCUCCUACUGUAGACAGCGAAGGCGACGAUGCCUGGUUUCCUCCCAUCGACGACGUUGGGUUCCUGCUGGAGAGAAGAAGGCAUGCAACGGCUCUAGUGUAGAUGAAGGUGAAGGCGCGCGCACGACUCCUGGGUUCUCGGCUCCGGCAACACUGUGGCAGAUGGCGGCAGCAGAGACGAGAAAGGUUUGUAUGAUUAAAGAAGAACAGUCGGGGAGAUAUUGCUGACCUAGAGGAGGUGCAUUCAUUAGAUCGAAGAGGAAGAAAGCAACGGACUUGAGUGAGCUUCAUACUUGCUUUCUCUCUGUCAGAUUGUGCUCCAGGUAUGUUUAUGUAUUUUUGUUUAUAUUAUUAAAUCUGGUAAGUGUGUUUGUAUAUGCAUCACUACAAGUUCAUUUCAACUCACCAAACUUGCGCCUUAAAAACCCUCACUUUUUAAGGCUCUCAAAUAAAGAACUCGUGCCCUGUGAGCCCUAAAAAGUAUUCUUUGUAGUAGUGUAAGGUUA